AAACUCUUUCGACGAGUCGAGUUGUUUGGGAAUGCAGCUCAAAAUGGGUGGUAUAUUUCAUCUAAAGCUAAAUAUUGGCCAGAGACCGAUAGCGCACAAGUAGAGUGAUCGAAAGAUGAAAAGCACUUUGGAAAGAGAGUUAAACAGUACGUGAAAUUGUUGAAAGGGAAGCGCUUGCAAUCAGACUUGCGCCUGGUUAAUCAUCUGGGCUUCUGUCCGGUGCACUUGAUCAGCUCAGGCCAGCAUCGGUUUGAGUGGUUGGAUAAAGGCUUAGGGAAUGUAGCUCUCUUCGGGGAGUGUUAUAGCCCUAGGUGCAAUGCAGCCUACUUGGACCGAGGACCGCGCUUCGGCUAGGAUGCUGG
rnacentral:rRNA from 1 species